rnacentral:tRNA from 3 species
GGGGAUGUAGCUCAUUUGGCAGAGCGCGUCAUUAGCAUUGACGAGGUACCGGGUUCAAUUACCUGCUUCUCCA